UCCCUGGUGGCUCAGACAGUAAAGAAUCUGCCUGCAAUGCAGGAGACCCAGGUUCACUCCCUGGGUUGGGAA
rfam:Ovis aries breed Texel chromosome 16, whole genome shotgun sequence.